GACAGUGUCAGGCGGGGAGUUUGACUGGGGCGGUACAUCUGUUAAAUAAUAACGCAGGUGUCCUAAGGUUAGCUCAGUGAGGACAGAAACCUCACGUAGAGUAAAAGGGCAAAAGCUAACUUGAUCUAUGACCUUCAGUACUGGUAUAGACCGCGAAAGCGUGGCCUAUCGAUCCUUUUGUUGUUCUUAAACGGUUGACAGUUUCAAGCAAGAGGUGUCAGAAAAGUUACCACAGGGAUAACUGGUAGCGCUAAGGCUUAAUGUGGUUGUCGCAAGACAAUCAAUAUACAGCAUUAAGCGGUGCAGCGUUACAAACUCUGGUGUUUAGUAGUGUCAAUGUAGUGUAUAUUGGGCAACUGAUAUAUGCUGCUUUCGGCCUAGCGUACAAGUCCCAUUGACUUGGGCUUAUUCUUAAUUGAGAUGUCUAUGGGUUUGGGGCAACUUGGAUCCGUGGAUGAGCCAUAGAGGGUGAAAGUCCCUUAAUGCGCAGGUAUUGAUGCUACGAAUCAGAGCAGUGGCGUCUGGUAAAACAGGCGUUGCGGUUUGUUAGAGUCGGGUUGCUUGAGAGUGCAACCUAAAGAGCGAGGUAAACUGCUCGUAAGGCUAUGUAAAUACGGCUACGACACCGAUAGCAAACAAGUACCGUGAGGGAAAGUUGCAAAGUACUUUGAAGAGAGAGUUAAACAGGGCGUGAAACCGCUAGCUGGUAAAACCCGUCUUGAAACACGGACCAAGGAGUGUAGGAGGGUUGUGUUGGUAGCGUUGAAGGCUAUGAGGGAGUGAUCCUGGCUGGAGCUGCCAAUAGUACAGAUCUUGGUGGUAGUAGCAAAUACUCAAGUGAGACCCUUGAGGGCCAAUGUGGAGAAGGGUUCCAUGCUAACAGCAAUUGGACAUGGGUCAGUCGGUGAAUUAGGUUAAUAUUCCUAAACCAAGAUGGGGAGAUGGCACGGACCACGGGAAUCCGACUGUCUAAUUAAAACAAAGCGUUGCGAUGGCCUAAGAUUGUGGUGUUGACGCAAUGUGAUUUCUGCCCAGUGCUAUGAAUGUCACAGUGAAGAAAUUCAUCUAAGCGCUAGUAACGGCGGGAGUAACUAUGACUCUCUUGUGGUAGCCAAAUGCCUCGUCAUCUAAUUAGUGACGCGCAUGAAUGGAUUAACGAGAUUCCCACUGUCCCUAUCUACUACCUAGCGAAACCACAGCCAAGGGAACGGGCUUGGCAAAAUCAGCGGGGAAAGAAGACCCUGUUGAGCUUGACUCUAGUCUGGCUUUACGCGGAGUAUGCAUCUGUGGCGGUAACGUUAUGGGUGUAUGCGUUGCGAGUGGAGCCACGAAGUCGUUUCGUAGAAUACAAGACGCAAAUUCAGCUAAAGUCUAUCCGGGUUUUAGCGUAUUUUUGCUUGUCUUGCUACUGUAAUCGUACACUGCAACCAAUUAGACGGCCAAUCGUGGACACAGUUUGCAUGUUGACAGGGAAACUUGUUGCUUGUAGGCGCCAAAAUUUGUGUAUUUACUGUAGGUAGCCUGGUUGGAGUCUUGUAUUUCAUCCGGGUGUAUGACAUUCGUGAAUGCGUGAACUACGAUUGGGUACUGAUUGGCAAAAUGAAAUUCGAAUCGCAAGAUUCGUGUGUUCAUAGAAAGCGGCUGGCAUCGUAUUUGGGUACAAUUGCUCGCUGCUAGUAUAAGCUUAGUAUUUUUGAAUUCAGGCACGUAUAUUGUCAGUGGGCUUGCUCGUUGACAUAUGCGCUGUUUCCUGUCUAAUCGGGUAUUAACUUUGCUGGUGGUUUGUUGUGAUUGCUGCGAUAGCACUGAAUGCGAGAGUCAGUCUGCAAGUAUUGGCAGUGAGUAGGUCGGCUUUCCACACGCGUUGAAUUAUCGUUCGUAUAAAAAGCGAUUAGUUAUGAUUCAACGCCUAAGAGAAUGGCGAAAGCUAUUUCUGAAUCAAAGGCAGUGUAAUCAAAACACAAAAAAUACUAUUUAGUCAACUGAGUUUAUAUACGCACACGUUUGUGCGUCUAGCACAAAAGCGGAAAUUUGACUGGUAUGUAUGUCUAGUUUUCAUGCACAAGCAAACGCGCAAUAAGAAUUGAUAGCUAAAAGCAACUAUGAAAUGUGUGUAAAAACACAGAUUUUGGUUCGCACAAAACAGCUUCAAACACAAAUGUGCGGAGUGUAUGAACGACGUUCGAAAACAUGCUUACAACAUAAAGGUUGAACCGUUUGUGCUUGCACACAGCGCGUGUUUAAAAACACAAAAUCAUUGGCAAAAUGAGUGUAAAUGAACACUGCAUGACUCGAAAGGUGCUAGUUGUGCGGUUAUUCACUUAGCUGUGCAACUAGCAUCGGCGGUAACGCAAACAAGGCUCUGAGGAUCGAGUUGGUCGGGCUGUAUGCGAGAUACUUUCAUGAGUUUGUAUCUAUGCUGGACCUUUGUUUGUGCGAAUGCUUUCGGGUGUUUGUAUCGUAAUAUUGGAUCGGCAUGGAUCGCUCGUUUGUUGAUUGCUACAGCUACGUUGGUGGUGUUUAAGUAUGGGCAACUGUAUUUGGAUGCUAUCGCUAAAAAGCGUCAUCGGCUAACAACUAACGAUCGAAUCAGAACUCAAGCUCUCGCAUAAAUGUGAAUCAGUUUCAUCUGGUAAAGCGAAUGAUUAGAGGCCUUGGGAGCGAAACGCUCUCAACCUAUUCUCAAACUUUAAAUGGGUGAGAUGUACGACGUACUUAACUGACGCCGUAUUCAUACAGAAUGUAUUGAGAGCUUAGUGGGCCAUUUUUGGUAAGCAGAACUGGCGAUGCGGGAUGAACCGAAAGUGAAGUUAAAGUUGCCGAUAAUGGUGCUAACAAUUUGUGCACUAGCUACACUCAUGAGAUCCCAUGAAAGGUGUAAGUUGCUAAAGACAGCAAGGACGUGGCCAUGGAAGUCGGAAACAUCUAAGGAGUGUGUAACAACUCACUUGCCGAAGCAACUUGCCCUGAAAAUGGAAGCAGCUCGAGUGUUGAACUUAUACUUCACUCUAGUUAAGUAUCGAGUCGAUCGGUCUUGAUUAGGCCAGACAUCGGAAGCUUGCGUUCCGAAAAUACAAUAAAUGACGGCAAAGUGAAAUCAAAUCAUAUGUGAUCUGAGGUCUAUAAAAACGGCCUACAGCGCAACAUAUGCCCACUCGUAUGGUUAUACGCGCAAGUGUUAACCGGGUGGAGCAAAGAGAUACUUGACUGGUAUUCUCUCACUUGGCCGUACCCAUAUCCGCAGCAGGUCUCCAAGGUUAACAGCCUCUGGUCACUUAGGAUAAUGUAGGUAAGGGAAGUCGGCAAAACGGAUCCGUAACUUCGGGAUAAGGAUUGUGAAGAGACAUGAGAGGUGUAGCAUAGGUGGGAGAUACGCAUCGGGCAACUGGUGUGUAUCGCAAGUGAAAUACCACUACUUUCAUUGUUUCUUUACUGA
rnacentral:rRNA from 1 species